AAAAUAUAUAUUCUAAAGAAAAGAAUGUAUUUACUAAUACUGAGAAAUCUCCAGGAUUUAUUAAAUGGAGAAACCAUGGGCAGAGAAUUGAAUCUAGUGUAAUUGUAUACAAUUUUCAAAAGCUAUGCACACAAACAUAGGUACUACAUUUGGGGGGAAAGAUUCACAAACUAAAGAAUUUUUAUUUCAUUUUGAGAGAUGCUAGGCGUGGAGGAUUAGACUAUCAAAGUUAC